AUUGAACGCUGGCGGCAUGCUUUACACAUGCAAGUCGAACGGCAGCGCGGGCUUCGGCCUGGCGGCGAGUGGCGAACGGGUGAGUAAUGCAUCGGAACGUGCCCAGUAGUGGGGGAUAGCCCGGCGAAAGCCGGACUAAUACCGCAUACGACCUGAGGGUGAAAGCGGGGGACCGAAAGGCCUCGCGCUAUUGGAGCGGCCGAUGUCGGAUUAGCUAGUUGGUGGGGUAAAGGCUUACCAAGGCGACGAUCCGUAGCUGGUCUGAGAGGACGACCAGCCACACUGGAACUGAGACACGGCCCAGACUCCUACGGGAGGCAGCAGUGGGGAAUUUUGGACAAUGGGGGAAACCCUGAUCCAGCCAUGCCGCGUGCGGGAAGAAGGCCUUCGGGUUGUAAACCGCUUUUGUUCGGGAGGAAAGGCUCUGGGCUAAUACCCCGGGGGUAUGACGGUACCGGAAGAAUAAGCACCGGCUAACUACGUG
rnacentral:rRNA from 1 species